UACGUAGGGGGCUAGCGUUGUCCGGAUUUAUUGGGCGUAAAGAGCGUGUAGGCGGCCAGGUAGGUCUGCUGUGAAAACUCGAGGCUCAACCUCGAGACGUCGGCGGAAACCAUCUGGCUAGAGUCCGGAAGAGGAGAGUGGAAUUCCUGGUGUAGCGGUGAAAUGCGUAGAUAUCUGGAGGAACACCGGUGGCGAAGGCGGCAUCCUGGACCAACACUGACGCUGAGGAGCGAAAGCUAGGGGAGCAAACGGG
rnacentral:rRNA from 1 species